UACGGGGGGGGUAAGCGUUGUUCGGAAUUACUGGGCGUAAAGGGCUCGUAGGCGGCCAACUAAGUCAUACGUGAAACCCCUCAGCUUAACUGGGGAACUGCGUGUGAUACUGGAUGGCUUGGAUUUGGGAGAGGGAUGCGGAAUUCCAGGUGUAGCGGUGAAAUGCGUAGAUAUCUGGAGGAACACCGGUGGCGAAGGCGGCAUCCUGGACCAAUAUUGACGCUGAGGAGCGAAAGCCAGGGGAGCAAACGGG
rnacentral:rRNA from 1 species